rnacentral:rRNA from 1 species
CAGCCGCCGCGGUAAUACGUAGGGUGCGAGCGUUAAUCGGAAUUACUGGGCGUAAAGCGUGCGCAGGCGGUUUGUUAAGACAGAUGUGAAAUCCCCGGGCUUAACCUGGGAACUGCAUUUGUGACUGGCCGGCUAGAGUAUGGCAGAGGGAGGUGGAAUUCCACGUGUAGCAGUGAAAUGCGUAGAUAUGUGGAGGAACACCGAUGGCGAAGGCAGCCUCCUGGGCCAAUACUGACGCUCAUGCACGAAAGCGUGGGGAGCAAACAGGAUUAGAUACCCCGGUAGUCCCUGUCUCUUAUAC